GACGAACGCUGGCGGCGUGCUUAACACAUGCAAGUCGAACGGAAAGGCCCUGCUUUUGUGGGGUGCUCGAGUGGCGAACGGGUGAGUAGCACGUGAGUAACCUGCCCUUGACUUUGGGAUAACUUCAGGAAACUGGGGCUAAUACCGGAUAGGAGCUCCUGCUGCAUGGUGGGGGUUGGAAAGUUUCGGCGGUUGGGGAUGGACUCGCGGCUUAUCAGCUUGUUGGUGGGGUAGUGGCUUACCAAGGCUUUGACGGGUAGCCGGCCUGAGAGGGUGACCGGCCACAUUGCGCCUGAGAUCCGGCCCAGACUUUUCGGGGAGGCAGUAGUCGGGAAGCUUGCAGAAAGGGAGGAAGCGAGAGCUAGCAAUCAGGCGUGCGGGACGCCGGACUUUGGGUUGUACCCCGCUUUCGCCUGUGACGAGGUGUGUGUUACGGUACUGGGUAAAGAAGCACCGGCUAACUAGGUG
rnacentral:rRNA from 1 species